GACGAACGCUGGCGGCGUGCUUAACACAUGCAAGUCGAACGGUGAAGCGCCUUCCUUUUUGGUGGGUGUGGAUGAGUGGUGAACGGGUGAGUAACACGUGAGUAACCUGCCCCCUUCUUCUGGAUAACCGCAUGAAAGUGUGGCUAAUACGGGAUAUUCUGGGUCUGUCGCAUGAUGGGUCUGGGAAAGAUAUUGUUUCGGUGGGGGAUGGGCUCGCGGCCUAUCAGCUUGUUGGUGGGGUGAUGGCCUACCAAGGCGGUGACGGGUAGCCGGCCUGAGAGGGUGGACGGUCACACUGGGACUGAGACACGGCCCAGACUCCUACGGGAGGCAGCAGUGGGGAAUAUUGCACAAUGGGCGCAAGCCUGAUGCAGCGACGCCGCGUGAGGGAUGGAGGCCUUCGGGUUGUGAACCUCUUUCGCCAGUGAAGCAGGCCUGCCUCGUUUGUGGGUGGGUUGACGGUAGCUGGAUAAGAAGCGCCGGCUAACUACGUA
rnacentral:rRNA from 1 species